rnacentral:rRNA from 1 species
UUAUUGGGUUUAAAGGGAGCGUAGGCGGGCUAUUAAGCCAGCGGUCAAAUGUCAGGGCCCAACCUUGGCAUGCCGUUGGAACUGGCAGCCUUGAAUACACACAAGGAAGGUGGAAUUCGUCGUGUAGCGGUGAAAUGCUUAGAUAUGACGAAGAACUCCGAUUGCGAAGGCAGCCUUCUGGGGUGCGAUUGACGCUGAGGCUCGAAAGUGCGGGUAUCGAACAGGAUUAGAUACCCUGGUAGUCCGCACAGUAAACGAUGAAUGCUCGUCAUUGGCGACAGACAGUCAGUGACCAAGGGAAACCAUUAAGCAUUCCACCUGGGGAGUACGCCGGCAACGGUGAAACUCAAAGGAAUUGACGGGGGCCCGCACAAGCGGAGGAACAUGUGGUUUAAUUCGAUGAUACGCGAGGAACCUUACCCGGGCUUGAAUUGCAGGAGAACGAAACAGAGAUGUUGAGGUCCUUCGGGACUCCUGUGAAGGUGCUGCAUGGUUGUCGUCAGCUCGUGCCGUGAGGUGUCGGCUUAAGUGCCAUAACGAGCGCAACCCCUGCCUGUAGUUGCCAUCGGGUCAUGCCGGGCACUCUGCAGGGACUGCCACCGCAAGGUGUGAGGAAGGUGGGGAUGACGUCAAAUCAGCACGGCCCUUACGUCCGGGGCUACACACGUGUUACAAUGGGGGGUACAGCGAGUCGGUCGUAUGCAAAUGCGGUCUAAUCAUGAAAGCCUCCCUCAGUUCGGAUUGGGGUCUGCAACCCGACCCCAUGAAGCUGGAUUCGCUAGUAAUCGCGCAUCAGCCAUGGCGCGGCGAAUACGUUCCCGGGCCUUGUACACACCGCCCGUCAAGCCAUGAAAGCCGGGGGCGCCUGAAGUCCGUGACCGCGAGGGUCGGCCUAGGGUGAUACCGGUGAUUGGGGCUAAGUCGUAACAAGGUAACCGUA